AUGCAGAUGGUCUCUUAUGGACGUACAGCUGUGAACAUUAAUGGGAAGAUCGGCCCCUUCUUCGCCACACACUGUGGGGUUAGACAGGGUGACCCCUUCUCCCCUUUUCUGUUCAAUAUGGUGGUCGAUGCACUUGCGACCAUUCUAGACAAGGCCAAGGCCGCAGGCCACAUCCACGGGGUUGCCCCGCGGAUGCAUAAGCCGCAGCGAAUUGCUCAUCUAGAUAUUAAACCACAUAAUAUCCUCUUAGAUGAUAACUUCAAUGCCGAAGUUGCAGACUUUGGAUUAUCCAAACUGAUAGAUAGGGAAGAGAGUCGUGUGGUGACACGAAUGAGAGGAACACCUGGAUACAUGGCACCCGAAUGGCUGACACCAAAAAUCACCGAGAAGGUCGCUGUUUACAGUUUUGGUAUCGUGGUCAUGGCAAUCUUAAGUGGAAGAAAGAACAUCGACUACUCUCAGCCUGAUGAGAGCGCUCAGCUCAUUAUGGUGCUACGAGAGAAGGCAAUGAAUUCUCAACUGGAAGAUAUGAUCGACAUGAAUGUCAAAGAUAUGCACUUCUGUAACAAGGAAGAAGUGAUUGAAAUCAUGAAGCUCGCAGUGUGGUGCUUGCAAAGUGACAGCAACAGAAGGCCUUCCAUGUCGGUGGUGGUGAAGUUCAUGGAAGGAGAAAGACGUGUGGAAUCAGACUUGAACUACAACUUCUUCGAUCUAAGCGCUAGGGUCGUUGUGCCAGUUGGUCAACCCAACUUCUCUGUCCUGCCUAAUGCAUCAGUGCUCUCUGCCCCCAGGUGA
rnacentral:rRNA from 1 species